AAAAAAAACAGGCCGAAUCCAGUUCAGCAAAAGAUCUGGUACGGGGGAUUCUUUACUUGGGGUGAAUGUUCGUCUUAUCGAACUAGGGAGCAGCCUCUUCCGAAUCCGUCAACUAACCUCGGAGGCCGCAGGAGGAAUU
rnacentral:sRNA from 2 species